AGUGAAAGAAACAGAUUUAGAACCAGCGUUCAUUUGACUUCAUUUAUAUCUCCAAAUGUCACCCACAAAUUAUUAAUUACAAAGAAAAAGCUAAUUUUACAAUUGUGAAAUCUAGUGUAUUCUUUGCCGAACUGAGUGAAAAAAAUUCUAGAAAUAGCACUUAAAGCUUGCAGUUGUGACCUAAUUAAUCCUUUUUUAUCAUUACAGUUGUGACCUAAUUAAUCCUUUUCACACCCUGCAAAUUUGGAAUUAUUUUCCUUGUUUUAUGAAAGAAAAAACUGCUCCAAGAGAUGUAGGAACUCAUUGAUACCUAGAGAAGGAAUCUGUUUACAGAAAGAGGAAAUUUAGGCCGCAGCACAUACAGAGGGCAGAUGAAGUGAAGACACAGGAAGAAGAUGGCCAUGGAUAAGACGAUGAGAGAGGUUGGAACGGGUCCUUCCCUCACAGCCCUCAGAAGGAACCAUCUCGAUUUUGGACUUCUAGACUCUAGAAUUGAACACGGAGAAGACAUUAAUAUUAUCCAUGUAAAUAAAACAUGUCACUGCAGAACAACAACAGCAAAAGCUAUCCCUUCAGCCCAGCUAGUGACUAAUGACAUCACUAAUAGCGAAACAGUUUCAAAUGAUUCCAUAACAAUGUUCUCUGAAAAAGACCAAUGAACUGCUUCCAUCAUGGAGUCCCAUGGGAUUUCCCACAAAAGGAAUUCUUUUAAACUCAGAGCUGGUUUAGAAGGUGACUAGCCUGACGUUGUCUGUCCUGGUCCUCCAGGCUCUAGGAAGACAUGGACACACUGGAGUGAACCGGGGGCAUGGUGAUGGGGAGCUGCCCACCAGGCUGGAAGGUGGUGGUUCUGCUCCUCUGGUAUUUGAGUAGAAAUAUCAAACAAUCUCCAGUGAGUAUCUCGCAACACAUGAAUGCCCUAUUGGGUACUGCAAUUUAGGUUGAGUACCAAGCAUGAGAUCCGCUGCUGGUUUCCUGAAGUCUUGACCAGCUAAAAUUACGACCCCGGGGGCACCUGAGUGGUUCCACCAAUUAAGCAUCCAGCUCUUGGUUUCGGCUCAGGUUGUGAUCUCAGGCUGGUGGGAUUGAGCCUCCGUGUAGGGCUCCGGCCUUAGCACGGAGUCUGCUGAAGAAUCUCUCCUUUGCCCCUCCCCCGGUACGCAUUCUCUCUCAAAUAAAUAAAUCUUUAAAAAAUAAAUAGAAUAAAAUUAUGACACCAGGU